UCUUUUUUAUUCUUAUUCCUCCGUAUAGGGUAUUUCUGAAGGACAGGGGGGGGUUAUACCAUCUCGGGGUA
rnacentral:tRNA from 1 species